rnacentral:rRNA from 1 species
AGAGUUUGAUCCUGGCUCAGAUUGAACGCUGGCGGCAGGCCUAACACAUGCAAGUCGAGCGGUAGAGAGGAGCUUGCUCCUCUUGAGAGCGGCGGACGGGUGAGUAAUGCCUAGGAAUCUGCCUGGUAGUGGGGGAUAACGUUCGGAAACGGACGCUAAUACCGCAUACGUCCUACGGGAGAAAGCAGGGGACCUUCGGGCCUUGCGCUAUCAGAUGAGCCUAGGUCGGAUUAGCUAGUUGGUGAGGUAAUGGCUCACCAAGGCGACGAUCCGUAACUGGUCUGAGAGGAUGAUCAGUCACACUGGAACUGAGACACGGUCCAGACUCCUACGGGAGGCAGCAGUGGGGAAUAUUGGACAAUGGGCGAAAGCCUGAUCCAGCCAUGCCGCGUGUGUGAAGAAGGUCUUCGGAUUGUAAAGCACUUUAAGUUAGGAGGAAGGGCAGUAAAUUAAUACUUUGCUGUUUUGACGUUACCGACAGAAUAAGCACCGGCUAACUCUGUGCCAGCAGCCGCGGUAAUACAGAGGGUGCAAGCGUUAAUCGGAAUUACUGGGCGUAAAGCGCGCGUAGGUGGUUUGUUAAGUUGGAUGUGAAAUCCCCGGGCUCAACCUGGGAACUGCAUUCAAAACUGACUGACUAGAGUAUGGUAGAGGGUGGUGGAAUUUCCUGUGUAGCGGUGAAAUGCGUAGAUAUAGGAAGGAACACCAGUGGCGAAGGCGACCACCUGGACUAAUACUGACACUGAGGUGCGAAAGCGUGGGGAGCAAACUGGAUUAGAUACCCUGGUAGUCCACGCCGUAAACGAUGUCAACUAGCCGUUGGAAGCCUUGAGCUUUUAGUGGCGCAGCUAACGCAUUAAGUUGACCGCCUGGGGAGUACGGCCGCAAGGUUAAAACUCAAAUGAAUUGACGGGGGCCCGCACAAGCGGUGGAGCAUGUGGUUUAAUUCGAAGCAACGCGAAGAACCUUACCAGGCCUUGACAUCCAAUGAACUUUCUAGAGAUAGAUUGGUGCCUUCGGGAGCAUUGAGACAGGUGCUGCAUGGCUGUCGUCAGCUCGUGUCGUGAGAUGUUGGGUUAAGUCCCGUAACGAGCGCAACCCUUGUCCUUAGUUACCAGCACGUAAUGGUGGGCACUCUAAGGAGACUGCCGGUGACAAACCGGAGGAAGGUGGGGAUGACGUCAAGUCAUCAUGGCCCUUACGGCCUGGGCUACACACGUGCUACAAUGGUCGGUACAGAGGGUUGCCAAGCCGCGAGGUGGAGCUAAUCCCACAAAACCGAUCGUAGUCCGGAUCGCAGUCUGCAACUCGACUGCGUGAAGUCGGAAUCGCUAGUAAUCGCGAAUCAGAAUGUCGCGGUGAAUACGUUCCCGGGCCUUGCACUCACCGCCCGUC